UACGUAGGGGGCAAGCGUUGUCCGGAUUUACUGGGCGUAAAGAGCGUGUAGGCGGCCAGGCAGGUCUGUUGUGAAAACUGGAGGCUCAACUUCCAGACGUCGACAGAAACCGCUUGGCUAGAGUCCGGAAGAGGAGAGUGGAAUUCCUGGUGUAGCGGUGAAAUGCGCAGAUAUCAGGAAGAACACCGAUGGCGAAGGCAGCUCUCUGGGACGGUACUGACGCUGAGACGCGAAAAGCGUGGGGAGCAAACAGG
rnacentral:rRNA from 1 species